CACGUAGGGCGCAAGCGUUGUCCGGAAUUAUUGGGCGUAAAGAGCUCGUAGGCGGCCUGUUGCGUCCGCUGUGAAAGCCCGGGGCUUAACCCCGGGUCUGCAGUGGAUACGGGCAGGCUAGAGGUAGGUAGGGGAGAAUGGAAUUCCCGGUGUAGCGGUGAAAUGCGCAGAUAUCGGGAGGAACACCAGUGGCGAAGGCGGCUUCCUGGACCUGUUCUGACGCUGAGGAGCGAAAGCGUGGGGAGCGAUCCGG
rnacentral:rRNA from 1 species